rnacentral:rRNA from 1 species
CACGGAUAACAUACCGAAAGGUAUGGUAAUACGGGAUAAUAUAUUUGAGAGGCAUCUCUUAAAUAUCAAAGGUGAGCCAGUACAGGAUGGACCCGCGUCUGAUUAGCUAGUUGGUAAGGUAACGGCUUACCAAGGCAACGAUCAGUAGCCGACCUGAGAGGGUGAUCGGCCACAUUGGAACUGAGACACGGUCCAAACUCCUACGGGAGGCAGCAGUGGGGAAUAUUGCACAAUGGGCGAAAGCCUGAUGCAGCAACGCCGCGUGAGUGAUGAAGGCCUUCGGGUCGUAAAACUCUGUCCUCAAGGAAGAUAAUGACGGUACUUGAGGAGGAAGCCCCGGCUAACUACGUGCCAGCAGCCGCGGUAAUACGUAGGGGGCUAGCGUUAUCCGGAUUUACUGGGCGUAAAGGGUGCGUAGGCGGUCUUUCAAGUCAGGAGUGAAAGGCUACGGCUCAACCGUAGUAAGCUCUUGAAACUGGGAGACUUGAGUGCAGGAGAGGAGAGUGGAAUUCCUAGUGUAGCGGUGAAAUGCGUAGAUAUUAGGAGGAACACCAGUUGCGAAGGCGGCUCUCUGGACUGUAACUGACGCUGAGGCACGAAAGCGUGGGGAGCAAACAGGAUUAGAUACCCUGGUAGUCCACGCUGUAAACGAUGAGUACUAGGUGUCGGGGGUUACCCCCUUCGGUGCCGCAGCUAACG